ACAGUUUCAGUUCCCCACAGCACAGAGAGGAAGCGAGGUCUUUGCAUGCCCCGUUCCCUUGGCCUAACACUGCCCUAGAUGUGCAAUUCAACCUGGAUAAAGCAAGCGUUAUUCAAGAGCCCUGACUCACUAUUUCAUGAUUACUUAUUACCCGCACACGGCAUUGUCAGGUUCCAGCAACCCUGUGUGUACCACGCAGAAAUGCAGUGUUUAUCUCUGAGAGGCAAGCAUUCUUAAACUCACUGCAUGAGCAGCCAUGCUGAACUGACUAUCGGGGAAGUAGGUCCCUGCGUGGGAGAGUCAAGAUGGCAGGAAUGGAAAGGUGCACUCGAUUAUACUAACAGAACUCUCAACUAAUGGAAAUUCAAAUUGAAGACUCCUGUUGUGGAUCAGGGACCAUGGGUAAACAUGCUUUCUAGGAGAGUUCACCACCGGGUUCCAGGAGAGGUCACAGUACUCCUGCACUCCUGACUGCAGACCCUUGGAUUCCAUUUCAGGCAGUGACACACCAAGAAUAAGAGGAGCUGGCUGCAGCCCUGCCCACGUGUGUCUGCUGGCUCACCCUCCCGUCUGGCAUCUCCACGCCCUUCCUCUUCCGGACUCCCUUGCAUGAGCUUCCAAGCAGAAUGAGCUGUCCUUCCAAAUAUGACCCUAACUCAUUCAACAGCUGGAGCAAGAGCAAACUAGAGCUCACGCGAAGGUUCUCUGGAAGAACAUAGAGCCACCUUACAUGUGAGGGAAUGAGACCAUGCUUUGAAGAGCUGGACUUUUUCCUUUUACUUACCCUUGAAAUUGUUUCACUCUGAUCUCCAGGUCAAAGAAGUGACCUACUACACAUUUAGUCAAAAUCUGUUUGUGCAAAUAAGUACAGUCCCUGCCUUCUUUAUACAGUUUUCUUAUCACUAGGGGACUGGAUUUAGUUCAACAACUGAGUCAGCAUGAGCUCACACAAAACAAAUCCUUUCACAUCAAUGUCAUUUUCUUCCCUAGCCUUUUUUAUUUAAAUAAUUAGGUCAGGGAAAUCCCAUGUGCUUAGUAUCAUGUCAGCAAGGUAUAUGACAAACUCUGGUCACAAUAGAAAGUCGUUUAGUGAAUUAAUGUCAAAUUUGGAAAAGUAGCUAAUAUGUCUUGGGAGCUUGGUCCUUGCCUGUACACCUGCCUGAAGAUCACAAGACUAAGAAGGAAACGUAACAUACACUGAAUGACAGACUCAGAGCUCAGCAAUAUCUCAGAAGCCUGUCAUAUGAGCCAAACCCAAUACAAAACAAUCUAGCAAUAUUAAGUAAUCAUCACAUUUUGUACUUGAAUAAAGAAAUUUAAUAUCAUCACUUUGGGGUAGGAAAAGCCAAGUUUAAUGUUGGUUAAAAAACAGUUUGAAAAUUGUAUUUGUCUGUCUUCAAUAUGAUGUUUCUUCCAAAAUAUCUCAAGUAACCUGAAUUAAUAGUAGAAAUAAUAUCUACCAUUUACUGAGUACCUAGGAUCUGCUAAAAUAACAAACUUACAAUGAAGGUAUAACUAUUCCCAUUUUACAGAUGAAAAAAUUGGAGGCGGUUAAGUAACCAGCACUAAGUCAAAGUGGCUAGCAAAGAUAAAAACCAACUUGUUAGCCAAUGUUAGGCAGCUCAAGUCCUUUCUUCUGUGCCUGAAAUGAAAGACCUUUUCCAAGAAUUUUGCAUUGGUUAUUCAUAUCACGUAUGGAAAAUGUUAUUCAUCUCAAUGAACCAAAAUUAAGUCAAGACACAAAGGAAUGUCUAUAGGAAAAUGACUAGGAUAGGAAAGAGUCUGUAAGCCAUGCAAGAAAAGACACAGUCGAAGAGAUGGUAAAUAUUUAACAUGAAAAAUAGAAGAUUCGGUGUGGGGUACAGGAGAUACCUUCAAAUACUGAAGAUCUGUGGUCAACUGGGGCAAAUAUCUUAAUCAAAUAAAUUCUCCAACAAUAAGAGUUUCAUUUCAAAUAAGGGAAGAGAAAGUUUCCCAAAUGAGCAUUUUCAGUCACUAGAAGCAGAAUUGGAGAGACACCUGCCAGGAUUGUUAUUGAAUGAAAUUCUGACUUUGAAAACAUUUGACCUUUGUGAUAAAAUGAAAUCACUUCCAAUUCUACAAUUCUGUUUUGUAAAACUAGUUUUACCCUUCACAGAGGUGCACCCAAGAGAACUGUGUGAUUGAUUUAAUGUUAGGGGUGAAUGAGCAUAAGCAAUUGAAGAAAACUUCAAAGUUUUGGGCCUUGUAACUAAUAUAUUGAUACAAUUAAAAAAAAAAAACCUUUAAUAAAAGAGAACCACAUUAAGUGGAAGAUAAUUAAGUAGAAAUAAAUAUGCAAACGGAAGCCUAAGAUUUCAGUACUGAGUGUACUGAUUGCAUAAUUCAAAUAUUCUUUUACAUCAUGGCAGAAAAAUGCUAAAAUCUAGGGAUAUAUGCUGACUGGUAACUGAGUUUUAUACAAAUAAUUUUUAAAUUUAUUAAAUUAAAUUUAAAAGCCUCUUGUAAUUUAGAACUAUAAAAUGUUAUAAUAUUAACUACUUACUUCAAUCUCCUAAGUUUACAAUUGAAAAAACCAUGUCUCAGAAAAUCUAAGGGACAUAUUCUCUACUCUGGGACCUGGUUCCCAAUUCACAUCUCUGUCUGCAAAUUAAAAAAAAAAAUUCUGAAACAUUCAAAUCUGGAAUAAAGACACCACCUGUAUUUUUUAGGAAGAAAAUAAAAUUUAAAAAAAAAACUAGUCUUAACUACAUAUAAUACACAAAGGUCCACUUUGUUAUGGUAUAAGGCAACACUGCCCCUUAGGAGUUUUAAAGUAUGAAUUCCACACUUCACCACGCUCUGGGAUGUUUUCACAGUAUUUUUAACAUUGGUCCUCAUAGUCUUAAUUUACCUCUGGAAAUUUCCAUGGAUGCUUAAACAAUAAAGAACAAAGAAGCACAUGGCUGUGUUAUUUAGAGUUGGUGAAUUAGGUUCCACAAGUCUUUUGAUUUCCUUUUAGGUGGUGUCUUGUCAGUUUCUAAGAUCAGAGGGAGGCCAGCUCCAGGAGUGCUCAUGCCUGCAUCAAUGGUCUUCCAUACUAUCUGAUGAAAAGAUUCAUUCUGUGUCUCAAAAGGAUAUUCCAGAUCCAGCUCUGAGUCAGCAGGUCUUUGGUAUAUAAGUUUUCCACUGCUUCAUUUUUUUAAAUCCAUCUGACAAGGUCAAGGUGGGAUUGAGACAAGAAAAAUUUGGAACUAGUCCCAUUUGAGACUUAGUUCCUUUAAAAAACCUGUUUUUAAUAAUCUGAAAGUUUACAUAAUUUUGACAUGCAAGUUAUAUACAUGUGUGUGUAUGUGUGCAUGCUUGUAUGUAUGUUCAUUUUUUUAAAGAGAUUCAAACUAAAUAAAAUUUUGAUUGAGUGCAUUGCUUAAAUGACUAGAGCAUCAGCUGUUAUAACUUCAACUUUAAACACUGAACUGAAACAUGGGCUUCAUGUUCCAAUUCAUACUGAAGCUUUAUAAUAUGUGGCCUUAGAGUAGAAGUAUAAUGGUCUCUUGGGAGAGGCAGGAUCCAAUUAAAAUUCAGUUUGCUGUCUUUUGGAAAGACAUAAGCAGUUAUAUAUCCUCUGAGAGGGCCUUAAGAAAUACACACCUGAGCUUUAAAUGGCUACUCAUUUGACUGUGAAGUUGAAUUUUAAUUCAUCAGGGAGUCAGAGCACAAGAAAGAAUUCAAAUAACAACACUCUGAUAUUUCCUGGUGUGUUACCAGGGAGAAAAGAGCUCCUGGAAAAUGAAUGCCUUACACAUUUGCAGAUAUUACCAACCACUUAUAAAAACAAGGCUAUUGUUAUGCAUAAAAGUCACUCCUUUUAGGAGAAGCCUGAGAGUGAAUUGAAAUGUGGCUGACAUUUCUACCACAAGAUAAAAUGUUUUUUUUAAAUAUCAUGUUUAAGUUCUCUUAGUUAAAAAAAGAAAAGGGAAAAAAGAAGAAAAAAGAAAGAAAAAUAUCUAUAAUCCAAUAUUCAGAGCAAUUCCAGACACUUCACCCAUGAAAUAACUCACUGGAAGACAUUACGUUUCUAAACACAAAAGCAAUUAGCAGCCUUUUUAAAUUCUCUUUUAGUUCAGUAAGGAAAUUAUUCACCAUAUUUUGAAAUCCCACAUGUUGUUUUUAAAAGACAAAAUAUAUAGUACAUUGAACAGAAAACAUAAGAAUGCUUUCUAUCUCAUUUGUUAGUUCAUGCCUAAGAUGAAAUACCCCAACACAUAUAGGAACCUCCCCACCCCCACUUUACUCGGAGAUUCUUUUGCUUACUUCUUUUUACAACAAGGGUUUUGAUGUAUUUUUAAAAAUAUAAAUAGAAAAAGCCACUAUAUUGCCUCAGAGCUACUCCACCUCACUGCCUCACUUUAAAUUCUGAUUGACUGUAAUGAGAUCACAGACAGAUUGAUGAAAUAAGAUCGAUGGGUUUAUUACACAUCCAUAUUCAGGUACUAAACAGCAUUGGACUUGGGGUAAUUUAGUUAUGUAGCUCAUUUAUUUCUUCAACAAAUUUGUUGAACAGCAGUAUUAGUUAAGGCAAUGCAAGCUGAUGUCGUAAAUAAACCCCCAAAUCACAAUGGCCUAAAACAUUAAAGGUGUAAUUUUCGUUCAUGGAAGCAGUGCAAUAUGAGCAACUACAGGAUUCAGGCAGCCAGAAUCCAUUCAUUCUGUGUUUCCAUUAUCUUCUAGAGCUUCGAAGCCUUCUGCAUUUAUCCCAGAUAAUGCAAAGAAAUUAGAGAAGGUGCAUCUGUUUUUAACCAUUGUCUUCUCACUUGCUCUUGGAAUUAACAAUCACACAACCAUACCUAAGAGCAAAGUGAUCGUGAAGCAUAUUUCCUGUUGGGGCAACACCUUCCGGUGAUAACGUCACGCUCUGAAGGGGGUCAGCUGUAACACCUGUAAUAAUAAUGUACUGGACAUUGUGGAAUUUUCAAAAAGAAACAAAACUGGAAGCUUGUCUUCCAGAAGCAUGCAUUUUAGCAAAUUUUUGCAAGAAUCUUAUUACCUCACCAAUAGUAAUAGUUAAUAUAUAUUAGAAGUUUGUUGUGUAUUGGGCUCAUUAUUGUUCCAGAGGGUAUGUGGGUGGUAUUUCAGGACUCAAACUCUGGUCUGUGGGC